rnacentral:rRNA from 1 species
AGAACGAACGCUGGCGGCAGGCUUAACACAUGCAAGUCGAACGGUUGUAGCAAUACAGCAGUGGCAGACGGGUGAGUAACACGUGGGAACCUUCCUAGGGGUACGGAACAACUCAGGGAAACUUGAGCUAAUACCGUAUACGUCCGUGAGGAGAAAGAUUUAUCGCCCCUAGACGGGCCCGCGUAGGAUUAGGUAGUUGGUGAGGUAACGGCUCACCAAGCCUACGAUCCUUAGCUGAUCUGAGAGGAUGAUCAGCCACACUGGGACUGAGACACGGCCCAGACUCCACGGAGCAGCAGUGGGGAAUCGUUGGACAAGUGGGCGCAAGCCUGAUCCAGCCAUGCCGCGUGAGUGAAGAAGGCCUUCGGGUAGUAAAGCUUACUUUUACCGAGGGUACAUAAUGACGGUACCUGGAGAA